rnacentral:rRNA from 1 species
CGCCAGACUCCUACGGGAGGCAGCAGUGAGGAAUAUUGGUCAAUGGGCUUACGCCUGAACCAGCCAAGUCGCGUGAGGGAAGACUGCCCUAUGGGUUGUAAACCUCUUUUGUCAGGGAGCAACGCCGGCUACGUGUAGCCGGACUGAGAGUACCUGAAGAAAAAGCAUCGGCUAACUCCGUGCCAGCAGCCGCGGUAAUACGGAGGAUGCGAGCGUUAUCCGGAUUUAUUGGGUUUAAAGGGUGCGUAGGCGGAACAUUAAGUCAGCGGUAAAAUCGAGGGGCUCAACCCCUUUAAGCCGUUGAAACUGGUGAUCUUGAGUGGGCGAGAAGUAUGCGGAAUGCGUGGUGUAGCGGUGAAAUGCAUAGAUAUCACGCAGAACUCCGAUUGCGAAGGCAGCAUACCGGCGCCCGACUGACGCUGAGGCACGAAAGCGUGGGGAUCGAACAGGAUUAGAUACCCGCGUA